rnacentral:hammerhead_ribozyme from 1 species
AUCUAACUGAUGAGUCUGAAAUACGACGAAACACGCGUCAAACUGGAU